rnacentral:lncRNA from 1 species
CUGCCUCCCUUGAGCAAUCAGUGGGAUGCCCAACGUACUCACAGGUGCUAAUCGCAUAAACAACUGCUGAUCCGCUUAGAGCCGAGAGAUGAGCAGCGGGACAGAGACAGGGCUGUCCUCGCCCAUGGCAGGGUGGCACAUCUCCAGCAUGUCCAGCUCCCUGAACCGCUCCAGAACCCGCAUCUUGCACUCCUCAGCUGCCAUGACACCAGUGGAGAAGGCGCCGUGCACUGUGCCUGUGUACUUGACACUUGUAGCCUCCCCUGCGAAGAACAGGUUGUCCACAGGGAUGCGCAACUUCUCGUACAGGUCGCGGGGUUUAUUCACCCCAUCAAACGUGUAGGAACCAAGCGUGUUCUCAUCCGAGCCCCAGUGUGACACCAGGUAAUUUAUCUGCAAUAAAUUUUUCAGCAACAUGGUUGUCAGAAAUGCCCUAGCAGGAUUCUUUGAUUAUUGUAGUUGACAUAGUGUUGACAAACUAACCGGCUCAGCUGCAUUAGGAAGGAUCUUCUUCAACUGGGAGAAGGCGAAUUGGGCAGCUGCCUCAUCAGACAUCUUUUCGAUAUCACGAGCAAGGCGGCCAGCAGGCAUGUAAACGAGAACAGGGUGGCCUGUUGCCUUGUGAAGGUUAAGGAAAUAGCUGCAUCCAUACGUGCUUGAGGAAACGACCCCAAGGAACUCCACGUUAGGCCAGAAAACCUGGC